AGGUUUUACUUUGCAACGGCGACCUGGCCAAGAAAAAGCAUAAGCGUACAAGACAACAUACAGUUUCACUUACAAUAAGCGUUAAAAGUUGACA